UAGGGAAUCUUCGGCAAUGGACGAAAGUCUGACCGAGCAACGCCGCGUGAGUGAAGAAGGUUUUCGGAUCGUAAAACUCUGUUGUUAGAGAAGAACGUUGCAUAGAGUGGAAAAUUAUGCAAGUGACGGUAUCUAACCAGAAAGGGACGGCUAACUACGUGCCAGCAGCCGCGGUAAUACGUAGGUCCCGAGCGUUGUCCGGAUUUAUUGGGCGUAAAGCGAGCGCAGGUGGUUUAAUAAGUCUGAUGUAAAAAGGCAGUGGCUCAACCAUUGUGUGCAUUGGAAACUGUUAGACUUGAGUGCAGUAGAGGAGAGUGGAAUUCCAUGUGUAGCGGUGAAAUGCGUAGAUAUAUGGAGGAACACCGGUGGCGAAAAGCGGCUCUCUGGACUGUCACUGACACUGAGGCUCGAAAGCGUGGGUAGCAAACAGGAUUAGAUACCC
rnacentral:rRNA from 1 species